rnacentral:rRNA from 1 species
GACAGAGGGGGGCAAGCGUUGCUCGGAAUUACUGGGCGUAAAGGGCGCGUAGGCGGGAUGGCAAGUCGGUCGUGAAAUCCCUCGGCUCAACCGAGGAACGUCGAUCGAUACUGCUGUUCUUGAGGAUUGCAGAGGAGACUGGAAUUCCCGGUGUAGCGGUGAAAUGCGCAGAUAUCAGGAGGAACACCGGUGGCGAAGGCGGGUCUCUGGGGCCGAUAACUGACGCU